rnacentral:rRNA from 1 species
ACGGGAGGCAGCAGUGGGGAAUAUUGCACAAUGGGGGAAACCCUGAUGCAGCGACGCCGCGUGAGUGAAGAAGUAUUUCGGUAUGUAAAGCUCUAUCAGUAGGGAAGAAAAUGACGGUACCUAACUAAGAAGCCCCGGCUAACUACGUGCCAGCAGCCGCGGUAAUACGUAGGGGGCAAGCGUUAUCCGGAUUUACUGGGUGUAAGGGGAGCGCAGACGGCAAAGCAAGUCUGAUGUGAAAUGCGGGGGCUCAACCCCUGAACUGCAUUGGAAACUGUUUAGCUAGAGUGCAGGAGAGGUAAGUGGAAUUCCUAGUGUAGCGGUGAAAUGCGUAGAUAUUAGGAGGAACACCGGUGGCGAAGGCGGCUUACUGGACUGUAACUGACGUUGAGGCUCGAAAGCGUGGGGAGCAAACAGGAUUAGAUACCCUGGUA